CGUAGGAUCCGAGCGUUGUCCGGAUUUACUGGGUGUAAAGGGUGCGCAGGCGGACUGGUAAGUCAGUGGUGAAAUCUCGUCGCUUAACGACGAAACUGCCUUUGAUACUAUCAGUCUUGAGUCCGGUAGAGAUCUGUGGAAUUCCGAGUGUAGCAGUGAAAUGUGUAGAUAUUCGGAAGAACACCAGUGGCGAAGGCAGCAGAUUGGGCCGGUACUGACGCUCAUGCACGAAAGCGUGGGAUCAAACAGGAUUAGAUACCCUGGUAGUCCACGCCCUAAACGAUGUACACUUGAUGUCGGCCUGUAAGGGUCGGUGUCGGAGCUAACGCGUUAAGUGUACCACCUGGGGAGUACGCUCGCAAGGGUG
rnacentral:rRNA from 1 species